rnacentral:rRNA from 1 species
GUUAGCUGGUCUGAGAGGAUGAUCAGCCACACUGGAACUGACACACGGUCCAGACUCCUACGGGAGGCAGCAGUGAGGAAUUUUGCGCAAUGGGGGAAACCCUGACGCAGCAACGCCGCGUGAGUGAUGAAGGCUUUCGGGUCGUAAAGCUCUGUCAAGUGGGAAGAAACCACGAGGUGAUAAUAUCGCUUUGUGCUGACGGUACCACUGAAGGAAGCACCGGCUAACUCCGUGCCAGCAGCCGCGGUAAUACGGGGGGUGCAAGCGUUAUUCGGAAUCAUUGGGCGUAAAGGGCGCGUAGGCGGUUUGUUAAGUCAGAUGUGAAAGCCCGGGGCUCAGCCCCGGAAGUGCAUUUGAUACUGGCGGACUUGAGUAUGGGAGAGGGAAGUGGAAUUCCUGGUGUAGAGGUGAAAUUCGUAGAUAUCAGGAGGAACACCGGUGGCGAAGGCGACUUCCUGGACCAAUACUGACGCUGAGGCGCGAAGGCGUGGGUAGCAAACAGGAUUAGAUACCCUGGUAGUCCACGCAGUAAACGGUGAUCACUAGGUGUAGCGGGUAUUGACCCCUGCUGUGCCGCAGUUAACGCAUUAAGUGAUCCGCCUGGGGAGUACGGCCGCAAGGUUAAAACUCAAAGGAAUUGACGGGGGCCCGCACAAGCGGUGGAGCAUGUGGUUUAAUUCGACGCAACGCGAAGAACCUUACCUGGGUUUGACAUCUCGGGGAUUUUUUGGAAACAAGAAAGUGCCCUUCGGGGAGCCCGAAGACAGGUGCUGCAUGGCUGUCGUCAGCUCGUGUCGUGAGAUGUUGGGUUAAGUCCCGCAACGAGCGCAACCCUUAUCUUUAGUUACCAUCACUUCGGGUGGGGACUCUAAAGAUACUGCCCCGGUCAACGGGGAGGAAGGUGGGGAUGACGUCAAGUCCUCAUGGCCUUUAUGCCCAGGGCUACACACGUGCUACAAUGGGCGAUACAAAGGGUAGCGAGCCUGCGAAGGUGAGCCAAUCCCAAAAAGUCGUUCUUAGUUCGGAUUGGAGUCUGCAACUCGACUCCAUGAAGCUGGAAUCGCUAGUAAUCGCGGAUCAGCACGCCGCGGUGAAUACGUUCCCGGGCCUUGUACACACCGCCCGUCACACCAUGAGAGUUGGUUGUACCAGAAGUUGUUGGGCUAACCCGCAAGGGAGGCAGGCACCUAAGGUAUGGCUGAUGAUUGGGGUGAAGUCGUAACAAGGUA